CUAGCUCUUACUUCUACCACCACGUGAACACUACCUUUUCAUUUCUCGCUCCUUGAAGGGGAUUUUUAAAAUAUUCAAUCAUUUUUAGGAGCAGCGAAGAAAUGGAAUAUCAAAUAACUUCUCAUCCUUGGAGCAUUCCUGUGAUAGCUCGGCGAAUCUACAUCAUCGACACCUCUACAACCAUGAGCUUUCCAAUACAGCAGAGAGCUUUUAACUGUCGAUUACCUAACGAAAUGGCAGCAGUUGAUACAGGUAAUGACAGUGACAGUCACUACGAUACGGAUGUAGAAAAACAGGCUGCCCCAAAUAAAAGGAAGAAGUUUACUUAUAAACAGAUGGAUGGUUAGAUGCUCCUGUAUUUAAAUCGUGGCUUACUGGAAAAAAAAUACAUAAAUGGGCAGGGUUAUCCAUUCUGUGACGCAAUCAAGCACCAUAAGGAAAGUAAUUCCACAAGAAUGCAUUAAAGAUGAUUACAAAC